CAAGUCGAACGGCAGCACGGGUAGUUUACUACCUGGUGGCGAGUGGCGGACGGGUGAGUAAUGCGUAGGAAUUUGCCUUAAAGUGGGGGACAACCCGAGGAAACUCGGGCUAAUACCGCAUAAGCUCUACGGAGUAAAGCAGGGGAUCUUCGGACCUUGCGCUUUAAGAUGAGCCUACGUCGGAUUAGCUUGUUGGUGGGGUAAUGGCCUACCAAGGCGACGAUCCGUAGCUGGUCUGAGAGGACGAUCAGCCACACUGGGACUGAGACACGGCCCAGACUCCUACGGGAGGCAGCAGUGGGGAAUAUUGGACAAUGGGCGCAAGCCUGAUCCAGCAAUGCCGCGUGUGUGAAGAAGGCCUUCGGGUUGUAAAGCACUUUCAGCGGGGAGGAAUGACUCAAGAUUAAUACUCUUGAGAGGUGACGUUACCCGCAGAAGAAGCACCGGCUAACUCUGUGCCAGCAGCCGCGGUAAUACAGAGGGUGCAAGCGUUAAUCGGAAUUACUGGGCGUAAAGCGCGCGUAGGCGGAUAUUUAAGUCGAUUGUGAAAGCCCCGGGCUCAACCUGGGAACUGCAGUCGAUACUGGGUAUCUAGAGUAUGGUAGAGGAUAGUGGAAUU
rnacentral:rRNA from 1 species